GAUGAAGAACGUAGCGAAAUGCGAUAAGUAAUGUGAAUUGCAGAAUUCAGUGAAUCAUCGAAUCUUUGAACGCACAUUGCGCCCGCCAGUAUUCUGCCGGGCAUGCCUGUCUGAGCGUCAUUUCAACCCUCAUGCCCCUAGGGCGUGGUGUUGGGGAUCGGCCAAAGCCCGCGAGGGACGGCCGGCCCCUAAAUCUAGUGGCGGACCCGUCGUGGCCUCCUCUGCGAAGUAGUGAUAUUCCGCAUCGGAGAGCGAUGAGCCCCUGCCGUUAAACCCCCAACUUUCCAAGGUUGACCUCAGAUCAGGUAGGAAUACCCGCUGAACUUAAGCAUAUCAAUAAGCGGAGGA
rnacentral:misc_RNA from 1 species